rnacentral:lncRNA from 1 species
UAUUAUUUUAUAAAUGUCUCUGAUAAUAUCUAUUUAGCUUAGUUCUAUACAUAAAAUACAACAGCAACAACAACUCAGUAUAUUCCCACACAGUGAGGUCUGGGGAGGGUGAAAUGUACGCAGUUCAUACCGCUACCUCCGAAGAAGUAGAGAGGUUUUUUCCGAUAGACCCCCAGCUUAAGAGAGAGAAUGGUAUAGCAAGG